UAAAGUUUAUAAAAUUAGGUAGUAAAGAAAUCUCCGAAACCUAAAGAAUUUGGCGGUAUUUUAGAUAAUUGGAGGAACCUGUUAUUUAAUUGACAAUCCACAUCAUAUCUUUCCUAAAUUUUAUUUGUAUAUCGUCGUUAGGAUAAUAUUGAAAAAUUAUAAUCAAUAUCAAUAAAUUUCUUAAAAUCAGAUCAAGGUGCAGUAUAUUUAGGUUAUAAUGGGUUACAAUAUAAGUAUAUAUAUAUGGAUAUAAAUUUGAAAUUAUAUUGAAAGUGGAUUCAAAAGUAAUAUUAAAUUAAAAUGUUAAUUUGAUUAAUAAUUUAAAAUAUGC
rnacentral:rRNA from 1 species